rnacentral:rRNA from 1 species
GUCAGAGGCGAUGAAGGGCGUACUAAUCUGCGAUAAGCGCCGGUAAGGUGAUAUGAACCGUUAUAACCGGCGAUACCCGAAUGGGGAAACCCAGUGUGAUUCGUCACACUAUCAUUAACUG